GGACCCGUAGCUCAGUGGUAGAGCGUGAGAUUCCAGUUUAAGCGGUAUCCUCAAGGUCAUCCGUUCAAUCCGGGUCGGGUUCA
rfam:Leucoagaricus sp. SymC.cos contig8624, whole genome shotgun sequence.